GAGUUUGAUCCUGGCUCAGAUUGAACGCUGGCGGCAGGCCUAACACAUGCAAGUCGAGCGGAUGACGGGCAGCUUGCUCCUUGAUUCAGCGGCGGACGGGUGAGUAAUGCCUAGGAAUCUGCCUGGUAGUGGGGGACAACGUUUCGAAAGGAACGCUAAUACCGCAUACGUCCUACGGGAGAAAGCAGGGGACCUUCGGGCCUUGCGCUAUCAGAUGAGCCUAGGUCGGAUUAGCUAGUUGGUGGGGUAAUGGCUCACCAAGGCGACGAUCCGUAACUGGUCAGAGAGGAUGAUCAGUCACACUGGAACUGAGACACGGUCCAGACUCCUACGGGAGGCAGCAGUGGGGAAUAUUGGACAAUGGGCGAAAGCCUUAUCCAGCCAUGCCGCGUGUGUGAAGAAGGUCUUCGGAUUGUAAAGCACUUUAAGUUGGGAGGAAGGGCAGUAAGCUAAUACCAAACUGUUUUGCCGUUACCGACAGAAUAAGCACCGGCUAACUCUGUGCCAGCAGCCGCGGUAAUACAGAGGGUGCAAGCGUUAAUCCGAAUUACUGGGCGUAAAGCCCGCGUAGGUGGUUCGUUACCUUGUAGGCA
rnacentral:rRNA from 1 species